CCCUGUGACGAAAGUGUGAUUAUGGCGUCUGUGUUGCCAGGUCAUUAAAACUACAGGAAGAUGAAUCUGAGACUUUCCCGUGUUUGAAGGAUGAUCAGUUCCUGUCAGACCCCUUUUUCUCUCAGACA